AUUGAACGCUGGCGGCAGGCCUAACACAUGCAAGUCGAGCGAGCGGCGGACGGGUGAGUAAUGUAUGGGGACUGCCCGAUAGCGGGGGCUAAAUACUGGAAACGGUAGCUAAUACCGCAUCCUAUCGGAUAACCCAUAUGGGAUUAGCUAGUAGGUGAGGGAAUGGCUCACCUAGGCGACGAUCCCUAGCGGGUCUGAGAGGAUGAUCAGCAACACUUGGACUGAGAAACGGCCCAGAAUCCUCCGGAGGCAGCGGUGGGUAAAUUUGCACAAUGGGCGCCAGCCUGAUGCAUCCAGUCCGCUGUGAUGAAGAAGGCCCUAGGGUUGUAAAGUACUUUCAGUCGGGAGGCGUUACCGACAGAAGAAGCACCGGCUAACUCCGUGCCAGCAGCCGCGGUAAUAC
rnacentral:rRNA from 1 species